AGUCAAUUCAAUUACUAGUAUGAUACUAACAUAGAAAUGAAUAUGUGUGAUCGUUGGCUAAGGAGUUAAACCCUAAUGUAGGAUUUUAUCAAAUGGCAAAACAGAGCUCAAAAUUUCCAUAAAAACACUGGAUGAUAUUCUCAAAAAACCCCAUUCUUCCUCUAUUGUUCUUCUUCAUGACCUGAAGAAGCUUGUUUGGUGAUAAACCCCUGAAUCAGGUAUAUUUGACAUAACAUUGGUCGCGGAGCUAGCUUUACUUCCCAGGGAUAUUCUACAGGGUUAGUUUUCAUGUAUGGACAUCGUCAGCUUCGUAGAAAACCAACGCUCCUUCAAUAUUUUGUAAGCUUGUCAUCUACACGUCUUUAAGGAUCAGGGGGAUGAUGACCAUGAAGACAAAUUAGUGCAGUUAAACUCAGCCUUGUCCUUGUCAAAUGACCCCUGAAUAUCCUCUUUUUCCUCAACGUAAAACAAAUCAGGAAGAUCAUCCUCAAUGAACUUAUCUAGCACUUCUGAUCAAUCAGGAAGAUAGCGCCGAUCCAUCUCAUAUUUACCAGAACAACCAUAUAAUGAUCAUUGGUCAGAGGGGUCCAAUGCUGUUUUCAAGGUGCAGAAGUCUCUUUUGCAGGUCAUCAUGCAAUGUUUUGGAAGUGAUCGACACAUCUCCAGCCAUUUGAUUACCAACUCAGUUCCACCCUUUGAAGCUUAACCAGGCAAACGUUGGUUUAGUUACUAAUUAGUUAUGGGUUAUUGGGGUUAUUGAUCCCCCAUCAACGUCCCAUCAUGCUACUGUGUAAAAGCUUAAAUGCUCUAGUUUCAGCUGUCCUUUUGCGUGCCA